CCGGGGCCGCCUAGAGAAGAGGCUGUGCUUCGGCGCUCCGGCUCCUCAGAGAGCCUCGGCUAGGUGUGGAAACAGGAAGAGAACUAGAACUGGAAGUAAAGCAUUGAAGAUGUGACUGAAUUGCUGCAAUCUCAUGAUCAAAUUUGAAUGGAUGAGGAGUUGCUUUUUAGGGAUGAGCAAAGAAAGUGGUUUCUCGAGAUGGAAUCUACUGGUGAAGUUGCUGUGAACAUUGUUAAAAUGCCAAUAAAGGAUUUAGGAAUUACAGAAACCUGGUUGAUAAAGCAGUGCCAGGGUGUGAGAGAGUUGACUUCAAUUUUGAAAUAAGUUCCACUGGCUGGGUGUGGUGGCUCACACCUGCAAUCCCAGUACUUUAGGAGGCCGAGACUGGUAGAUCAUUUGAGGUUGCUCCUUGAGGGCAGGACAGUUCUUAUGGCUUUAUCCGUUGCGUAAGCACAGAGAGGUCUGCGAGGUCAAAACUAUUGUCAUGAUAGCAAGAUGCCUGUCUUUUUCAUUUAUUCUCACGGUGUGCAGAGGCUACAUGAUGUGUGAUGACAUCCUCAUUGAUGUUAAUGAAUGGUGCUAUACUUGAAUUUUCUAAGGUGUCAUUAGCAAUUCUCCUGCCUCAGCCUCCUGCAUAACUGGGACUACAGGGAAGCACCAUUUUCCACAAAACUCUCAAGAAGGACUUGUUGCAACUGGAAAAGCAAUUAAAUGUGAAUCGUGAUCCAGGAGAAAGUAACAACUCACAUAACUCCCAAAUUAAAAGUUUUCCAAAGAUAUAUCAUUUUUUUUCUCUUGGCCUUUUAAGAAACUAGCCAACAAAUACUCUUGACAGGUUUGUGUUUGGUUUUGAAAACACACACCUUAGUGUACUGAAAGAAAAACAAUUUCUUUUAAUUUGGUUUGUUGGUCCCACACCCCAUCUAUCAAUGUAUGUGCUAUUUACAAAUAAGUUCUAUACAGUAUUUUUGCAGUACCUUUGAUAAUUCCUAGACCUCUAUUUUCAUUCUGUGUAUUAAUGUGAAUAACAGAUGGAUAUUUUAAUAUUUAAGGCAGAUGGUAAACUUUCCUAUAGGUCUUGUGAGACUUCGUCUUAUAGGCUGAACACCAUUCACAAAAUGUAAUAAUGCUUCAUUCCUUCAGGUUGAGGUAAAGAACUUGAGCAACUGGAUUAGCAAAGCUGCAAAGAAUGAAAUGUGGCCUAAGAUGUAAUUAUGUUCUCUGCCCUUCCUUUGGGCCAGGGUAGUUUUGCACUUGACACAAUGGAAAAUAGGCCAUAAAGCCUGAAAAUAAAAUGUUCUAAACCCCA
rnacentral:lncRNA from 1 species